rnacentral:rRNA from 1 species
UACGGGGGGGGCAAGCGUUGUUCGGAAUUACUGGGCGUAAAGGGCUCGUAGGCGGCCAACUAAGUCGGAUGUGAAAUCCCCAGGCUCAACCUGGGAACUGCAUCCGAUACUGGAUGGCUUGAAUUCGGGAGAGGGAUGCAGAAUUCCAGGUGUAGCGGUGAAAUGCGUAGAUAUCUGGAGGAAUACCGGUGGCGAAGGCGGCAUCCUGGACCGACAUUGACGCUGAUGAGCGAAAACUAGGGGAGCAAACGGG